UACGGAGGGUGCAAGCGUUAUCCGGAUUCACUGGGUUUAAAGGGUGCGUAGGUGGGUUGGUAAGUCAGUGGUGAAAUCUCCGUGCUUAACAUGGAAAUUGCCAUUGAUACUACUGGUCUUGAAUUUUCUGGAGGUAAGCGGAAUAUGUCAUGUAGCGGUGAAAUGCUUAGAUAUGACAUAGAACACCGAUUGCGAAGGCAGCUUACUACAGGGACAUUGACACUGAGGCACGAAAGCGUGGGGA
rnacentral:rRNA from 1 species